rnacentral:misc_RNA from 1 species
CACCAAAAAUUUUCGGGUGCUCUGUCUUUGUUCAUAUCCAUCACCAGUAUCGAAGUAAACUUGAUCCCAGGUCGCUCAAGUGUAUCUUCAUUGGGUAUUCUUCACAUCAAAAAGGGUAUAAGUGUUACUCUCCGGUCACAAAGAAAUUCUAUAAUUCCAUGGAUGUCACAUUUUUUGAAACCCAGUCUUACUAUCCUAAAAUCGUCAUUCAGGGGGAGACUCCAACCCAGGAACAUCAAUUUUGGACCCUUGAGUCAUUUAGUGAGCCAUCCAUCACCACCAAAAAUCACACACCUCAAGAGUCAUUUAAUCAAUCUUUACCUGCCGAAAAUUCUGAGUUCAUUGUUGACUUGCGGGAUAAUGAGCACAUCCAAGAGGACACGGAGGAAGGAGCACUUUC